UGUAAGAUGAUUCUAUGAUCAAAGGAAAUAGGAUUAAAUUGUUUGUCAGCAGUGAUGACAGAAAUUGAGAGGUUUAACAUGUUAAAACCUGAUAAGUGAUGUUUUGGUUAUGAUUUGUGAGUUGCUGUGAAUGAUCAGGAAGGAUCACGAUUGAAGGCUGAUUACGAGGUUAGUUGGGACAAAGUCGAAUUUUUCCGGAAUUCUAGGAAUGAAAGUCGAGAGAAGAAGAAUAGCACGGUGUCCACAAAGCCAGAAAAUGUGCGAGCAAGGAGAUUUAAGGAAUGAGGACUGAAAGGCUUUUUUAUUUUUAGGUACAAAUUCACAGCACUUUAAUUUUGGACCGACUCAAGACAACUUAUUUUUGGGGGCUCUGACUUGGGUCAAAUUCAAGCUUAUCUUUGGUGUGACUUUAGAAUUCUUUGUUCUAAAUUAUACUGAGUCAUUAAAACACUGCUACUUACGGUUGGUGUAGUGGAAACUGGGAGUUUUUUUCUUCCAGAAAUUAUAAAGGUCAUCCACUUAUUUAAUGAGUUUACACGAAGCAAUACUACAUCAACAUGGAUUCAUGGUAGACCAAAAGAGGUCUUUUCUGAUUA